UAAUUAAACUAAGAUGCUAUUGAGUGGA
rnacentral:sRNA from 1 species